CAGUAGCCACGGGAACACGGAGGGUGCAAGCGUUAUCCGGAUUUAUUGGGUUUAAAGGGUCCGUAGGCGGACUUAUAAGUCAGUGGUGAAAGCCUGUCGCUUAACGAUAGAACUGCCAUUGAUACUGUAAGUCUUGAGUAUAUUUGAGGUAGCUGGAAUAAGUAGUGUAGCGGUGAAAUGCAUAGAUAUUACUUAGAACACUAAUUGCGAAGGCAGGUUACCAAGAUAUAACUGACGCUGAGGGACGAAAGCGUGGGUAGCGAACAGGAUUAGAUACCCCAGUAGUCCCUGUCUCUUAUAC
rnacentral:rRNA from 1 species